GCAGAGCCGACAUACGAUCGAAUGCCCGCAGAGUUCAAAACCACAGCCAAAGGAGACUCCUUUCUCUUCCAUGAUAGCGGAGAGGGCGACGGCGAAAGAAUGCUGAUCUCUGCUACCGAGCGCAACUUGAGCUGUCUGGCUCAGGCGACUACGUGGUUCGCGAACGGGACCUUUAAAGUGACCCCGGCACAGUUUUACUAAAUGUACACGGAGCAUGCCACAGUCAACGGCGUGGUAAAGCCAAUGGUUUACGGCUUGCUGCCCAACAAAUCUGAAGCUACCUACAAAAGAGAUGAAGCUGGCUCAAGUAGCGGGC